CUUUGGAUUUGGGAACUGGAAUUACAUCACUGGCUUUCUCAGUCGUCCAUCUUACACACAGAACAUCAUGGGACUUCUCAGCUUCCAUAAUCAACUCAGCCAACCCUUAUAAAUUUCUUAAAAGCAAAGAAACAAAGAAGUCUUCAGUUGUUUUAGUAAAAAGAACGAUUUAGAGGUUUUGGAGCAGUCACAACUGAAUUUGAAUUCCGGAUUGGAUAAUUUGUUACCUUUGCAAUUUUCAGUUAAUUAACUUUCAUGAACGUUAGGGGGAUUUUUUUUGUUGUUUUUUUAAAAUAAGGGUAAUAAUGCAAAAUGUGGAUGGAUAUUGGACACAUUAAAUGUGUAUAAAAAUUUCCUAAGCCUACCACUCCACCAUUCUCCCUUAAACUUACCAUCAUCAAUCUGGCAAUAUUUUCUUGGGUAAUAUCAAACAGUAUACGACCCAAGAACUGCUAUAAUUGCUACAAUUUUCUCUAUCCAAUUCCAGAUGGCCUGAAAAUUUAUUCUAUCAUUCCUGAGGGCCUCAGCAAGUUAGAGAUAUGAAAGCUUGAAAGAAUACAAAGCUGUUUGCUCCAUAUCUUGCUGCCUCUUGUCUUAGUUCACAUCUUGAAAACAGAAAAUAUUGCCUACACCCACUGUGACUUUUUUUUUCUAAGAUCCCUUCCAGACACAAAAACUAAAAAUCUCAGUUUCUUUUCACUUGCUCUCAUACUAACGAUGCUUCAUAAACGCAGCAAAUUUUGGAGAAAAUCAAAGUUUAAAAUGAAAACUAUGUUUCACCCAUCUGUGUCUAACUAUGAAAAUGUAAAUGUAAAAUACAGUAAAUUGGAUAAAGUAAAUCCAGAUUACUUUAGCAGGUAAAUAGAAGGAAAUAAGAGGUUUGUUUUAUUGUUAAUUUUCCAUCAGUAUUUUAGAUAAUUGAUUUCACAAAAGCUGGAAUAUAAAACUUGGCCAUAACAUUGUCAUGAAAAUUAUAAAAUUAAUGAUGUAAAAAAUGACCUCAUAAAUACUGUCAUGUAAGGAUAUUCAAACCUAACUCACAGGAAAUGACAAAGAAACAUUAAGCUCUAAGUCAGAUUCCAGGAGAACACCAUAUAUUAUGUUAUUAAAUAUUAUUGGUUUCCUGAAAGCCUUAUAUGAGGCACUUGUUCCACAUUCUUCAAGAGCAGACAAGCUCCUGAAGUGCCCUCCCAAUUCAAUAUUCCUGAGGGUAUUUUAGACACUCAGACACAAUGUUAAAUUCAUUACAUUGUAUAAACUCUUGAAUAAAGAAUGCAUAUUAUCUAGUUAAUUUUUUACUGAGAACCCUAACUUUAGAAGUAAACAAGGAAGCAAAUGAUAAUGCUAAAUAUUCUAUAAAUAAGAUAUUUAAAUAAGAAUAGCCUCUUAAUUAAUUAAAUUAUUUUAAAGAAAAAAUGUAGAAAGACUCUAUUUUCGCCUGCUGCGGUGGCUCACGCCUGUAAUCCCAGUACAUUGGGAGCCGAGGCGGGCGGAUCACAGGGUCAGAAGAUGGAGACCAUCCUGGCCAACAUAGUGAAACACCGUCUCUACUAAAAAUACAAAAAAAUUAGCUGGGUGUGGCGGCACGUGCCUGUAGUCCCAGCUAGUCGGGAGGCUGAGGCAGGAGAAUCGCUUGAACCUGGUAGGCGGAGGUUGCAGUGAGCCAAGAUCGUGCCACUGCACUCCAUCCUGGUGACAGAGUAAGACUCUAUCAAAAAAAAAAAAAAAAAGAAAGAGCCUAUUUUCAGAUAUUUAAUAUACAGUUAUUUUUUAAAAUUAGUUAUAUAGGUUUUUAAAUUGACAGAUAAAAUGUAUAUAUUUAUGGUGCGGAACACAAUGUUUUGGUAUUUAUAUAUUGUGGAAUGGCUAAAUCAAGCUAGUUAACAUAUAAAUACCUCACACACUUUUUUUUUUUUUUUUUAGUGGUAAGAACACUUUAAGCAAUGUUCACGUACUCAACACAUUGUAAUUAUAGUUACAUGUUAUCAUUAUAAUGAUAAUAAGUCUCUUGAAUUUAUUCAUCUGAUACACAGUUACUUAUACAAACAUUUACACAUGUGCACACACACUCAUACACAUGUAUGUAAGGUAAAGAUGUAUUUAUGUGAAAGUCAAGAGGUUUAGAGAAAAUAUAUUAACUCAGCAAAAAGAAUGGAUAAAAUGUAUUAACUUAGCAAAAAGAAUCUUUCCUAAUCUCCUGGUUUUGAUAUUGUAGUUUAUGCAAGAUGCUACCAUUGGUUUAGGUUGGCUGAAGAAUGCUUAGGAUCUUCCUGCACAUUUCUCUGAAUUUGCUGUGAAUCUAUAGUUCAAAAUAAAUGUUUUAUUAAGAUUGAAUAUAGUUGGGCUAAAAUGAUAUUUUCAAGUGCAAUGAGCAUUUGGAGGGAAAUUAUACUAUGGUUGUGAAACAAAAUAGUAUUAAAUGUGAGUUGAAAAUGGAUAAAUUAUUACAGCUACUAAAUUUGACCAUAGGGUUUAACAUAGGAAGUAAAAAAUCCAUAUAAAUUUAAAAGUCCAAUCUUGUGUAAGAAUGAAAGAUUGCCUUAUGUGUUUAUCUGGAGUUUAUGGAUAUAAUCAUAAUCUAGAACUUUUUGUGGGAAACAUCGUAGAAAAAGAAUAAGAACACUUAAUUUGUGAAACUGCAUGAAAAACAUUUUCUAGAGAAAAUUUAAAGCAGGAUUAUAAAAAACUUAUUCCAUUUCCCUCUUUCAUUAGAAAGUUCAUUUUGAUUGUUUAGUAAUAUAAUGAAUGUUUUGAGUACAGUAAACAUCUUGAGGCUAGAUAAUGAACUUAUAAAAUGGACUACCCCUUUGUCACACUUUAUUCAUCUGAAAUCUAGGACAGUACUAUUUUUCAAAGUAUUAUUUUUGUAUGCUAUAGUGCUACAAAAUAUUUGUUAACAUUAAUAUAUAAACUAAAAGAAACAGAGAAACAUCUCUUAAAGUGGUUUGAAAAAUCCUUUAUGAAGCACACCAGAGACACACUUUAAAACUGUAUAAAAGAAUGAAAUAUAAUAGCAUAAGUUGAUUUUAGAUAUUUUCAAAAUUUAAGAAAAAAAUAAGAUAUAUGCAAACACAAAUAAUGUAGUUUUGUUUUUUUCAAACUUUUAUUUGAAGUUCAAUAUGGUCUGUACAAAAGAAAUGGAGUGAGUGGUAAAAUUAGUGAUUUUUAAAUCCAUUCCUGGGGAGUAAACAGGAUUUCCAUAAUGCUCUGAAAGUAUAGCUUUAAGGUAUCAUGAAAGAAAGGGCAUGAAGUCACAAAGCCAUUUAUAUAAUCUCCUUCCAAUCUAUUAGCCAUGAUUUCUCCUCUUAAUUUCUCUUCCAUAGUGUACAUUGUCAGGACAAUAUUUAAUCUCAAUUUCAUGUUUUCUGAUUAUCACUCCACUCUGUUUAUUCCGGUUAGUAAGUAGGAAAUUCUGAUUGAGUUACUUGUAAAAUUUUUGCUAGUUUCUUUGUGAGCUUUUCAGUCCACUCUGCUUGAAAAAAGGAACAGUAGUUCUCCACAUAAAGGACAUUUGGGCAGCUUUGGAAACUUACGCACACAUUAAUAUAGAAGAGUUGGAAAGAACUGCAAUUGAACUGCUGAGAUAAUUCCUGUCAGCUGCAGCACUCAGAACUGGCUUGUGUCCCUCUGACGCCUUCUGGUCCUGUAGUCUCACUGAAGGCAGUGUUCUGCACAUUAUCUUUGAUCCAGUUCUGCUUGAAUGAUUUUGGAUAAAGAUGGAACAUUUUCUCACUCUUCAGAAUUUUACUGUUACACUUGCUGCUCAAACUAUGGAGUUAUUUAUUUGUCUUUUAACUAUGAGGUAGUAAUAAAUUAUGAGCUUAAAAUUCACAAAACACAUUUUCAUUUCUAAGAAUGGAAACAAUCUAUAGUGUCUAGACAUAAUAAUCCAAUGAGUCCUAGUAUUUUUCAGUGUU
rnacentral:lncRNA from 1 species